ensembl:lncRNA
CUUUGUUGCUGCAGGUACAUGUCCGCUCCGGGUCCUCUCGCGUUCGCGGCGCAGUCACGGUUGUGCAACAGAUCCAGGAUGAGUUUCCCAGAAUCUCAACGUGCAGCUUGAAUCAAAGUUCAUGUCCGAGCAGGAGGAACCCACUCUCAAUCUUCUCAACCUCUUCCACUCAAAGUGCAGCCAUGGAGCUGAGGCUGAAGGCUAAACGCAUCCCACUCAAGGAUGCUGGUGAAGACGCUGUUUCACGGGACCUUAUAAUACAAAACAUGAAAAUCUACAGGAACAAGACGAACACGUCGGAGAGUCCAGACGUCUGUAUCGUGUUGGAUGGACCAAAAGUUCUGACUGCACUGAGGGACUUUGCAAGGGCUUGCUGUCUGCUGGUUGGGUUUGCGUAUGCAGUCAAUCUUGCACACUCAAAGAAACUUAAACACAUUUAAGGUUGUCCAAGUUUUCUUGG